rnacentral:rRNA from 1 species
UACGGGGGAUGCAAGCGUUAUCCGGAAUCAUUGGGCGUAAAGCGCCUGUAGGUUGUUUAAUAAGUCUGUUGUUAAAGACUAGGGCUUAACCCUAGAAAAGCAAUGGAAACUACUAGACUAGAGUAUGGCAGGGGUAGAGGGAAUUUCUAGUGUAGCGGUGAAAUGCGUAGAUAUUAGAAAGAACACCAGUGGCGAAAGCGCUCUACUUGACCAUAACUGACAUUCAGAGGCGAAAGCUAGGGUAGCAAAAGGGAUUAGAUACCCCUGUAGUCCUAGCCGUAAACGAUGGAUACUACAUGUUGUAUUUAUUUUACAGUAUGGUAGCUAACGCGUUAAGUAUCCCGCCUGGGGAGUACGCUCGCAAGGGUG